CAUAGCCUUUGGAGAAAGAUUUGAACCCUACACUGCCACAUGUUUAGCUGCUUGAUCCCAAAGAUGUCCCUAACUAUCUGUGAACCCCAGAUUUCUCUUUUGCAAGUUGGGACUCACCUACCUUGCAGGAUUGUUAAAGGAAUUAACUGACAUGGCUGCAAUUUCUCCCUUGGAGAAUAUGAAGAGAAAAAAAGAGGAGGCUAAGGAUCUAUAUCUGUUGAGCUGGUAAUGGAACCAGUGAUGGAAUAUUCCAUGGCCACCAGGCUAUCACCUGGAUCAACUCCUUCUGCCUCGACCCAGCCAUUCUACCCUGGGAAGUGCCUCAACCACUGGCCAGGAAGCCUGAGUUCUGUUCCAGGUUCUGCCACUGACCUGCUAAGCAAUCCUCGACUGCGCAUUUACCUUCUCAGGGCUCUGCUUCCCCAUGCGUAAAAGGGAGACAGUAAUACAUCCCCAUCCUCCACACGGUCCGCUGCCCAGGGGUCACAAAGAUCACACGAGACAACAGAUUUUUAAAGCUAAACAUGCUUUAUAAGCAUAAGACCUUAUAAAUGUUAUUUCUAUUUAGAUGGCUUGAGGAAAGAAAUAAAAAUAAUUUGGGGGGAGGGUAUCGACUCAAAAUGAGCCUGCACUUAUGAGGGAAGGAAGAAGGGAAGGAUGGGCUGGGGCAAAUUUCACCCUACGGACUGAGAAAGUGCUCUCUUUCUACAUGUGCCUGGAAGUGUUGAGACGAUCAGAGGAAAU
rnacentral:lncRNA from 1 species